AGUGUAGUGGCUUGAUCUCGGCUCAUUGCAACCUCUGCCUCUCGAGUUCAAGCAAUUCUCAUACCUCAGCUUCCCAAAUAGCUGGGAUUACAGGCAUGCACCAUUACUCCUGGCUAAUUUUUUCUGUAUUUUUAGUAGACACGGGAUCUCACCAUGUUUGCCAAGCUGGUCUCGAACUCCUGACCUCAAGUUAUCCACCUACUUUCGCCUCCCAAAGUGCUGGGAUUACAGGCAUGAGCCACCACACUUGGCCUUUGAAACUUACUUUUACAAAAGAUAGUUUAUUUCUCUCCUGGGAAGACCAGGGAACAUCCUCUGGUUUGGCGGGUCUCCAGCUCUCUCCAUAUUCUGAGCCAAGGAACAGCUGGCUAAAGAAUUGAAGUCUGUUGUGUGCCCACAGGGUCCUCUUGUUAAGACCUGUAAUGGGCAGUUGUGACCGCACAGAUUAGAACUUCACAGAUGGGUUAAUCCCACUUUCAUAUUGUGGAUCUUUGUCACAUGAAAGACCAGGUGACACAAGAAAGAUCUGAAGCUCUAUGUCCUUGAUAUUUUGAACAUCAUUUUAAGGGGGAGCAAAAGUCCUUUCAUUAUCAAUCCAGGUUUAUUUAGAUGGUGUCUUGGUCAGCUUUCAGAGCCUAGGUCACGUUGUUCAUAUUCUUGACUUUUUGCUCCCUUAGCUAGUAUGACAGGUUGGGAUGAAUUUUCCUCUUUCCUCAAAGGGUGGUGACUACAUCCAGCCUCUCAGGAUAUAAUACUAUCCAUGGCCCUUUUCUGACUUCGAGAUUGGACAGGCCAGUCACACUCCUAUUUAUUGGGUAUUUUGUUAAUAAAAGUCACUCCAGUGAAUAGAACUGAGCUCCAUGAAGGCUGGAACUAGACUGUGUCUAGUGUCUCAUAGUUGUGGUUAGUUAAUAUUUUUGACAAAUUGACCUGCAGGCUCACCUACUUUAAAAAAAAAGACAUACUUUACCUUUGCCUACCAAAGUUUGACUUGAAAGCUUCUAAGUUUGUCUGGUCUGUCAGGUGAAAAGCCACUCAGUAAAGUCAAACAGAUAUACCUCUUUUAGAUCUUGGAAUAUGCCCCACAGAAAUGGGUUCUUCUGGAGCCAGAGUACCUCGAGGUAUUGGCUUUCCUGAGGGUUUUAGUAUUAAUUACAUAUACUUGUAUUUUAAAAAAUCCAUCUCUAUAUUCACGGAAUUCUUUAAUAUCUUUGGCUGUUGUUAAAAGCAAGAAUUGGCCCCCCUGAGGGUUUGUAGACUAGUUUUGGCCUGUGACAGGAAUCCUUCUUAAUUCUGAUCUAGCUUUGUUUAUGAACUAGGUGUAGUUUGUCUCAAAUUAAUUCUGGAUGUUGAAAACCCUGAGGACAGAUUCUUGAGCAGAAUUACCAAUUAUAAACCUGGAAGGUGAGGUGGUGGACACCCAGGUCUGAGCUACUAGCUUGGUUCAGUCUUCUUGAAGCACAAACCAUUUUCAACAUCCUGUUCUUUAUUUCUAAUGAGGUAAAAUAUGGACAUGUUCUAGCCCUUCUUCUAAGCUUGAUAUUUUAAAGGUUUAGUACCACUUUGGUUAAGCUAGAAAAACAAAACUUUUUUUCCUUCGUAAGUGUAGAGUUCUGUGAGUUCUGUCAAACAUGUAAUCAUCAAGUCAAGAUACUAAAGUCACACCACCCCUAAAUAUUCCCUCAUUUCCCUUUGUAAUUAACUCCCAUCCCCGUCUCAGGAGGCCAUUGAUGUGUUUGCCAUCCCUGUAGUUUUUCCAUUCCUGAAUGCUAUAUAAAUGGGGACUGUUUUUUUUUGUUUUAAGAGACAGGGUCUUGCUAUGUUGCCCAAGGCUUGAGUGCAGUGGCUGUUCACAGAUAUUAUAGCAUACUACAGCCUUGAACUCCUGGGCUCAGGCAAUCGUCUCACCUCAGCCUCCUGAGUAGCUGGGAUUACAGGUACCUGCCACCAUGCCCAGCUAAUGGAGGCUUUUGAGUCUGGCUUUUCAUUUGGCAUGAUGCUUGAGACUUACCCAUAAUAUCAGUAGUUCAUUCUUUUAUUCCCAAGAAGUAUUGCAUUGCCAUGGAUGUACAAAUUUAUUCAUUCACCAGGUGGAAGGCUACUUCAUUGAAUUCAGUUUUUGGUGUUUAUGAAUAAGGCUGCUAUCUUCACAUACAGAUCUUUGCAACAAAAAGCAGCUGCGUGUAAAUUACGACCGCAACUGAGUUUCGCGUGAAUCAUUCACUCCUCUGAAGGCAACGCUGCAGUUACAGAAAUGUCCUACUGGGGCUCCUCCUUUGCCUUCUUCAAUUUUAAGAAUUCUGAGAUCAGAUUCUUUAAAUUCUGGCUCUCUGGAAAACUCAAAAUCCAAGAUGAUGCAUUAUGGAUAUGUUUUAUAGAAGAAAAUGACUUGGAAAUUCACUCAGUGCACCCAUCAAAAGACUGGCUAAUUAAUUUAAGUUAUAUAUCAAGUAUUAUAAGUCUUUGAUUAGCAAAUGUAUUUCUAAAGGACGAAUCACCCUAAUCUCCAUUGCAUCACCAGAGAUGACUGCUUCUGAAUUUUUAACUGUACAACUAUAGUUAUCAUUGACCUUUUCUCUCAGAGUUUUAGAACAAAGUCUUGCCACUAUCUACUCUUCACUUCUCCAAAUCCCAACACUCACCAUUAAGAACAGCCACUCCAGCUCCUCGUCUAGCCACAUUCAUGGGUGCAAUUAAAGUCCAGGUGUUAUUUUCAGGAUUGUAUCGUUCUACUGUGUUCAGACAAUUCCAAGAUUCUGCACCUCCGAUUAUGUACAAAUAACCACCAAGCUCACAGACUGCAGACUGGUGUCUCCCUACAAGAAAAGUCAAGUCAAGAUUAUUGCUACAUCUCCCAGACUUUAAGUGUGUACUACACAUACUGUUAAUUUAAAGGUCUUAAAAAAAAAAAAAAAGAAAAAGAAAAAGGAAAAAAAUCAACUUACGAA